ACCAGGAAAGGCCCCAAAUAGCGAAAGGAAUGUCAAAAAGCAAAACCAAAGUUGGAAGCAUCACAAUUCUGACUUCAAGCUGUAUAACAAAGCAGUAAUCAUUAAUACAGUAUGGUAUUCACAAAAACAGACACAUGAUUCACUGGAAAACAACAG